rnacentral:misc_RNA from 1 species
GGGAAACUGAGUCCUCACUUCAUUGGGCUAUAUGAGGUUCUAAAAAGUGUGGGUCCAUUGGCAUAUAGACUUGCAUUACCUCCAGAGUUGGAAAAGAUUCACAAUGUCUUCCAUGUCUCCAUGCUGAGGAGGUACAAAUCAGACCCCUCUCAUGUGCUACCUGUUGAAGAGAUUAAGGUGAAUUCAGGCCUCACUUAUGAGAAAGAGCCUAUUGAGAUUCUGGUAUAUGAGGUAAAACAGCUGAGGAACAAGCAGAUACCACUGGUGAUAGUGCUAUAGAACCAUCAUUCAGGCCAGGAAG